GGGGAGUCUUCUCUUCUCAUGAGGUGGCCAAAGUCUUGGAGCCUCAGCUUCACGAUCUGUCCUUCCAGUGAGCACUCAGGGCUGAUUUCCUUAAGAAUGGAUAGGUUUGAUCUUCUUGCAGUCCAUGGGACUCUCAAGAGUCUCCUCCAGCACCAGAAUUCAAAAGCAUCCAUUCUUCGGCGAUCAGCCUUCUUUAUGGUCCAGCUCUCACUUCC
rnacentral:lncRNA from 1 species